UACGGAAGGCAGCAGUGGGGAAUAUUGCACAAUGGGCGCAAGCCUGAUGCAGCCAUGCCGCGUGUAUGAAGAAGGCCUUCGGGUUGUAAAGUACUUUCAGUCGUGAGGAAGGUGUUAAGGUUAAUAACCUUAGCAAUUGACGUUAGCGACAGAAGAAGCACCGGCUAACUCCGUGCCAGCAGCCGCGGUAAUACGGAGGGUGCGAGCGUUAAUCGGAAUUACUGGGCGUAAAGGGCACGCAGGCGGUUAAUUAAGUUGGAUGUGAAUCCCGGGCUAACCUGGGAAUGGCAUUCAAGACUGGUUAGCUAGAGUCUUGUAGAGGGGGUAGGAAUUCCAUGUGUAGCGGUGAAAUGCGUAGAGAUGUGGAGGAAUACCGGUGGCGAAGGCGGCCCCUGGGACAAGACUGACGCUCAUGUGCGAAAGCGUGGGGAGCAAACAGGAUUAGAUACC
rnacentral:rRNA from 1 species